rnacentral:rRNA from 1 species
CAGCAGCCGCGGGAAUACGAGGGGGGCAAGCGUUGUUCGGAUUUAUUGGGCGUAAAGGGUGCGUAGGCGGUUUGAUAAGUCUGAUGUGAAAUCUAUGGGCUCAACCCAUAGUCUGCAUUAGAAACUGUCGGGCUUGAGUAUGGGAGAGGUGAGUGGAAUUUCCGGUGUAGCGGUGAAAUGCGUAGAUAUCGGAAGGAACACCUGUGGCGAAAGCGGCUCACUGGACCAUAACUGACGCUGAUGCACGAAAGCUAGGGGAGCAAACAGGAUUAGAUACCCGCGUAGUCCCUGUCUCUUAUAC